rnacentral:rRNA from 1 species
CCUACGGGAGGCAGCAGUGAGGAAUAUUGGUCAAUGGACGAGAGUCUGAACCAGCCAAGUAGCGUGAAGGAUGACUGCCCUAUGGGUUGUAAACUUCUUUUAUAUGGGAAUAAAAUGUUCCACGUGUGGGCUUUUGUAUGUACCAUAUGAAUAAGGAUCGGCUAACUCCGUGCCAGCAGCCGCGGUAAUACGGAGGAUCCGAGCGUUAUCCGGAUUUAUUGGGUUUAAAGGGAGCGUAGGUGGAUUGUUAAGUCAGUUGUGAAAGUUUGCGGCUCAACCGGAAAAUUGCAGUUGAAACUGGCAGUCUUGAGUACAGUAGAGGUGGGCGGAAUGCGUGGUGUAGCGGUGAAAUGCUUAGAUAUCACGAAGAACUCCGAUUGCGAAGGCAGCUCACUGGACUGCAACUGACACUGAGGCUCGAAAGUGUGGGUAUCAAACAGGAUUAGAUACCCUGGUAGUC